UAAAAAAAAAAAAAAAAAACACAAACAAAAAAAAAAAAAAAAAAGAGAGAAGAAAACAAUGGCAGCAGCUAGAAGAGCUACCAACAGCGACCUUCCCAUGCUUCCAUUCUCUUUCACAUAGAAAAUGAGACCUAUCUCUCUCUGUAAACCCUAAUCUCCCAUUUCCUCUGCAACCUAUACGCUCAUAUGCCGCUUUAGCUCUUCAAGGCUCGAUUUUCCUUUGCCUUUUGGCGAUACAUUUCCAAUUUGAUUCUCUAUUUUGAUCUAUUUGUCUCUUGAUUUUGACAAUGGAGGCAUUGAUGCAGCUCUGCGACGUGGCGGCGCAGAAUCCGGCACAAUUUGCGGAAAAAUUGGCGUGGAUUUGUAGCCGAUGUCCGCAACCGGACUCGUUGCUCGCCGGAUCGCCUAGGGUUUCGCGUUCGCAGCUCAAUGCGGUCCUCGCCGUGGCUUUAUUCCUCUCCAAGUGUUCUGUCUCUACCGAUAACAGGCCACAAUCUAUUGUUCUUGAGUUUUUUCGUGCGAUUCCGUCGUCGUUUAGGCAAUCAUUUUGGCCCCAGUCGUUCAGCCUGGACUCGAUCUCAUCGUUCUACGUUGAUUUCUUGGGAUACGUGUCAAAAGCGGCGGAGUUGUCGCUGGAUUUCGCUGAGGAGAUUGCUGAUUAUGUUGGUGACGUCGUUAUGGCGGGGCUCAAUAACAAUGUCAGUGAGAAUUUGGCUAUUUCCAGGGCUUUUUUGCUGGCUUUAUCGCAGAAUUUCCCUCCAAUUGUACAGUCCGAUGCGGAGAAACUGGUGAUGUGCCUUCUCGAUCAAUUUUGUGUGCCCGUACAGGUUCCUGCUUCUCCUAUUGAACCGAUUGUUAUCAACUCUGAAACGUCCUCGUCUCAGAGUUCGCCAUUAAACCAGCACAACUAUAAUCCCAGCAAUGAGAUUUCAAGUCCCGCGAAUGAUUUGAGCCACGUUUCGGGGUCGUCCAGUGCCAGUGUGGUGUCGUCAAUGUCAGUGAUGUUAAACGGUAGCAGUGUAAUGUGGAAGAGUGGGUUUGAUUCUAUGGGAAUGAGUUUUGGGUUCAAUGAUGGAGGCGGGGGCUUGUUUAGGCAACAAGUGGCUUCCUUUGAGGAGGAGACUGUGGAGGGAUUGGAGAAGCAGGUGAUUGCAUUUAAAUUAAUCAUGCAUGUCUUAGAUCAUGUGAAGAUUGAUAACGAGCUUUUGAAGAACCUGAGUUCAAUUGCAAAGAAGCAACUACAGUCCCUGUCCGCAUUUCUGAAGAUAAGGAAGCGGGAUUGGACUGAACAAGGACAACUUUUAAAAUCUAGAGUGAAUGCAAAACUGUCUGUUUAUCAAGCUGCAUGCAGGAUGAAACUUAAGUGUCUUGCAUCUAUUGAUGCGGAUGGGAAAACUUCCAAAAGGUUGGUGCUGGAGACUCUUGCACUAAUGAUAGAUGCCGCAGAAGCAUGUUUGCUGUCUGUGUGGCGAAAGUUGAGAAGUUGUGAAGAGCUGUUCAGUUCCCUCCUUACUGGCACUGCUCAUAUUGCUGUCAGUAAAGGAGGUCAGCCGUUGCGUGUGCUGCUUAUUCGUCUCAAACCUCUCGUGCUGACUGCAUGUGCACAGGCUGAUGCUUGGGGUGGCAGCCAGGGAGCCAUGUUCGAUACUGUCAUGCAUACUAGUUGUCAGAUAAUUGAAUCUGGCUGGACUAAGGACCGUUCUCCUGUUGACACAUUUAUCAUGGGAUUAGCCACAAGUAUACGUGAACGAAAUGAUUACGAUGAACAGGUUGACAAGGAGAAGCGGGCAGUUCCUGGUGUGCAGCUUAAUGUCAUUCGUCUACUAGCUGAUUUGACUGUUUCUGUUAACAAGUCUGAAGUGGUAGACAUGAUACUGCCGCUUUUUAUUGAAAGCUUAGAAGAGGGUGAUGCUUCAACUCCUGGUUUAUUGCGACUCCGACUUCUUGAUGCUGUAUCUCGCAUAGCAAGUUUAGGUUUUGAGAAGUCAUAUCGUGAGACUGUUGUUCUGAUGACAAGGAGUUACUUGAGUAAACUAUCUGGUGUAGGGUCUGCUGAAAGCAAAACAUUGGCACCGGAAGCCACUACGGAACGUGUUGAGACUCUUCCUGCAGGAUUUCUUUUGAUUGCUAAUGGCCUUAAGAUUAUGAAAUUGCGUUCAGACUAUCGUCAUCGUUUACUAUCUUUGUGCUCAGAUGUAGGCCUGGCUGCUGAAUCCAAAAGUGGAAGGAGUGGAGCAGAUUUUCUGGGACCUCUACUUCCUGCUGUUGCUGAAAUAUGUUCUGACUUUGAUCCUACUGUCGAUGUGGAACCGUCACUUUUGAAGUUAUUCCGAAAUUUAUGGUUCUAUGUUGCUCUUUUUGGUUUAGCACCUCCUAUACAGAAAAUUCAACAACCAGCAAAGCCAGUUUCAACUACAUUGAACAGCGUGGGAAGCAUGGGUACUAUUGCUCUUCAGGCAGUGGGCGGACCAUAUAUGUGGAAUGCACUGUGGUCAUCUGCUGUUCAGCGAAUUGCUCAAGGGACUCCUCCUCUUGUUGUCAGCUCAGUAAAAUGGCUCGAAGAUGAAUUGGAACUCAAUGCCCUCCACAACCCUGGAAGUCGUCGAGGGAGUGGCAAUGAGAAAGCAGCUGUGAGCCAAAGAGCUGCUCUUUCAGCUGCCUUAGGUGGGCGAGUUGAUAUUGCAGCAAUGAGCACAAUUUCAGGUGUGAAGGCAACCUAUCUUCUUGCUGUAGCCUUUUUGGAGAUAAUACGAUUCAGCAGUAAUGGUGGCAUCCUUAAUGGUUGCACUGGUUUGACUGCUUCUAGGAGUGCCUUCAGUUGUGUCUUCGAAUACUUAAAAACUCCAAACCUUAUGCCAGCUGUCUUCCAAUGUUUGACAGCAAUUGUCCACAGGGCAUUUGAAGCAGCAGUACAGUGGCUGGAAGAUCGAAUAAGCGAAACAGGCAAAGAAGCUGAGAUCAGAGAAUCAACUCUUUUUGCUCAUACCUGUUUUCUCAUUAAAAGCAUGUCACAGAGGGAGGAACACAUCCGGGAUAUUACUGUAAACUUGUUGACUCAGCUUAGAGAUAAGUUCCCUCAGGUUUUGUGGAAUUCUUCCUGCUUAGACUCCCUGCUAUUUUCAGUUCACAACGACUCAUCUCCUGGUGUUGUUAAUGAUCCUGCUUGGAUAGCGACAGUCCGUUCUUUGUACCAAAGAAUUCUGAGAGAAUGGAUCAGUAUAUCACUUUCAUAUGCCCCAUGUACUAGCCAGGGCCUACUUCAGGAAAAGCUAUGCAAAGCAAACACAUGGCAGAGAGCACAACCUACAGCUGAUGUGGUUUCUCUUUUAACUGAGAUACGGAUUGGCACUGGUAAAAAUGAUUGGACAGGCAUACGAACAGCUAAUAUUCCUUCAGUCAUGGCCGCAGCAGCUGCUGCAUCAGGAGCAAACUUGAAAUUGACAGAAGCCUUCAAUUUGGAGGUACUCAGUACUGGUAUGGUCAGUGCAACAGUUAAGUGCAACCAUGCUGGAGAAAUUGCUGGCAUGAGAAGGUUGUAUAGCAGUAUUGGUGGAUUUCAACCUGGUAAUGUACCAACAGGUUUUAGCAGUGGUCUCCAGAGAUUAAUAUCUGGAGCAUUUUCUCAACCGCCACAGGCUGAGGAUGAUUCUUUUAAUGAGAUUUUACUUAAUAAGUUUGUGCAUCUUCUUCAACAAUUUGUUAGUACUGCAGAAAAAGGUGGCGAAGUGGACAAGUCACAGUUCCGUGAUACUUGUUCUCAAGCGACAGCAUUACUUCUCUCAAAUCUGGUUUCUGAUUUAAAAUCAAAUGUAGAGGGCUUUGUGCAACUUUUGCGCCUUCUUUGCUGGUGUCCAGCGUAUAUUUCUACUUCAGAUGCAAUGGAAACUGGCGUUUUCAUUUGGACUUGGUUGGUUUCUGCUGCUCCGCAAUUGGGAUCUCUUGUUCUUGCUGAGCUUGUUGAUGCAUGGUUAUGGACAAUUGAUACAAAACGAGGUCUCUUUGCAUCUGAGGUGAAGUAUUCUGGACCUGCUGCGAAAUUGAGGCCUCAGCUUGCACCUGGGGAACCAGAGCUGCCACCCGAAAUUGAUCCUGUUGAACAAAUAAUGGCACAUAGACUAUGGCUUGGAUUUUUCAUUGAUCGCUUUGAGGUAGUUCAUCACAAUAGUGUUGAGCAACUCUUGCUCCUUGGCCGACUGUUGCAAGGGACCAUGAAAUCACCAUGGAACUUUUCACGCCAUCCUGCAGCUACUGGCACAUUUUUCACUUGCAUGCUUCUAGGGCUCAAGUUUUGCUCUUGCCAAAGCCAGGGGAAUUUGCAGGGUUUUAAAUCAGGGCUUCAACUGCUAGAGGACCGGAUCUAUAGGACUUGUUUGGUCUGGUUUGCUUCUGAGCCUGAAUGGUAUGACAUAAACAAUAUGAAUUUUGCACAAAGCGAGGCUCAGUCUGUCUCUCUAUUUGUCCACUAUCUUUCGAAUGAGCGAACAGAUGUUCAAUCUGAUGCAAAAGGACGGGGACCAGAUAAUGGAAUUUCUGUGGCUGAUAUGAAUGAUCAGUUUCACCCUAUCUGGGGCCAAAUGGAGAAUUAUGUUGUGGGAAGAGAAAAACGGAAGCAGCUGCUUUUGAUGUUAUGCCAACAUGAGGCUGAUAGGCUUGAAGUUUGGGCACAACCCACAAAUUCAAAGGAAAACACAUCACGGCCUAAAAUUAGCUCUGAGAAGUGGAUUGACUAUGCUAGGACUGCUUUUUCUGUGGAUCCUCGGAUUGCCUUAUCCUUGGCCUCGAGGUUCCCUGCAAAUGCUUCUUUGAAGGCUGAAAUAACUCAUCUUGUUCAGGAAUUUGUAAAGAACGAAGUCUUUGACUUGAUAGUUGAGAAAAUUCAAAACUGAGAGAAAAUGCUAGAAAAACAAAGUGUAGAAAGUUCAAGGAACAGAGACAAUAUGCUGCUUCUGCCCAAAACAAAUACUCCAGCUGCUGCCUCACAUGAUAACAGCGCAAGAAGAGCCAAAAGAUGCCGCUGCUGCCCAAAACAAACAAUCCAGCUGCUGCCUUUGCCAAAAAACACCCUAUCUGCUGCCCCACAUGUCACAUAUUCUGGAAAUUCGUUGCAUACCUGAAGCGUUGCCUUAUUUUGUCACCCCAAAGGCUGUUGACGAAAAUUCAGUGCUUUUGCAACAACUGCCUCACUGGGCUGCUUGUUCAAUCACACAAGCUCUUGAGUUCCUCACUCCUGCAUAUAAGGGUCAUCCGCGCGUCAUGGCAUAUGUUCUCAGGGUUUUGGAAUCCUACCCUCCAGAGCGAGUGACCUUCUUCAUGCCACAGCUAGUGCAGUCUCUGAGAUACGAUGAAGAGAGGUUAGUUGAAGGGUAUUUGCUCAGAGCUGCUCAAAGAAGUGACAUAUUCGCUCAUAUUCUGAUAUGGCAUAUACAGGGUGAGACGUGUGUACCGGAAGGAGGAAAAGAUGCUAUCUCUGGAAAGAAUAGUUCAUUUCAAGCGCUAUUGCCAAUUGUUCGGCAACAUAUAAUUGAUGGUUUCAAUUCCAAGGCCCGUGACAUGUUUGAAAGGGAAUUUUCAUUCUUUGACAAAGUCACAUCCGUUUCUGGUGUUCUCUUUCCGCUUCCUAAAGAAGAACGUCGAGCUGGGAUUCGGAAGGAGUUGGAGAAAAUUGAAAUGGAGGGAGAGGACCUUUAUUUACCGACUGCUCCUAGUAAGCUUGUCAGGGGAAUACAGGUGGACAGUGGAAUACCAUUACAGUCGGCAGCAAAAGUUCCGAUAAUGGUGACGUUUAAUGUGGUUGACCGGGAUGGUGACCGCAAUGAUAUAAAGCCUCAAGCUUGCAUUUUCAAGGUUGGAGAUGAUUGUCGACAAGAUGUUCUUGCCCUUCAAGUGAUAGCUCUACUUAGAGACAUAUUUGAAGCAGUUGGACUUAAUCUUUAUUUGUUUCCAUAUGGAGUUCUUCCAACUGGCCCAGAGAGAGGUAUUAUUGAAGUGAGCUUUUAUCUUCAGCCAUUCAUUUAAUUGGAAUGUGCUUUAUCUGGAGCAUUGUUACCUCAAGCAUCCAUAUGCUGUGGAUUUCAAACAACAAUUUGAUAUACUCACUAGAGUGUGCUGUGUGUAUGACUUGGGGAAGUUUUUCUUUCUUGAGCCAUGGCAAAAUGUAGCAUGGUCAUGUAAAAUGUAACUGCUAUUUUAGGAUGAAUCUUAUGAUUCAAGUUUUAUAUAUACAUAAUCAUGAAUUGAUUCAUAAAAUGCGUGAUUAUAAAUUAUAAUGGAUUUUCAACUUGAAAAUAAUUAGUAACUGGAAUACCUUGGGGAAAAAAUUGCUUGUGAUUUACACUAAAAUGGUUCAGGUAUUUGUCGUUUAUCAGGUUGCUUUGACUUCCUUUUUUAAAAUGUUCUAUGUUUUAUGUAGAAUGUGGUGAAUUGGAAUUUACAAAUGGCAGUGAAGUUUAUGGUAACUCUUGUAUAAAAUUUGUGCACAUUGUGCCCCUAUGUUCCCUUGGGCUGCAUUGUUUUACGUUUCUGGAUUACAAUUCUUCUUGUGAUCUACAAUCUGCCUCUAGGCUUUGCAACUGAGUUCUUUAUUCAUUACAGUUUGAGGGGAGUUCGGGGUGAACUAUAAGAGUUGCUCAUGAUUCUUUAUUUGAGUAUUUUUUGGUUGAACUUUUCCUGGAAUUAAUUAAAUUUGUUGUCUAAUUUACAACCAACUUCAUAUAUGCCUAUUACUCUGUCCAAUGGUUCAGGCUUUCUGCCAAUGAAAGAAAGUAUGGAUCAAGCUAACUCCAUAAAUUAUCUCCUUUGUGAAUAUGGAUCAUCUGUAUUAUUGUAUAUGCAUCUUCUUUUUUACUUGGUAGAUAUUUUUAACAUUACAGGUUGUGCCUAAUUCCCGGAGCAGAAGUCAAAUGGGUGAAACAACAGAUGGUGGUUUGUAUGAGAUUUUUCAACAAGAUUUUGGGCCUGUAGGCUCUCAUAGUUUUGAAGCAGCACGUGAGAACUUCAUCAUUAGCAGUGCUGGUUAUGCAGUUGCCAGUCUUUUGCUUCAACCAAAGGAUAGACACAAUGGGAAUCUUCUUUUUGACAAUUUGGGGAGGCUAGUUCAUAUUGAUUUCGGUUUCAUCUUCGAAAUAUCACCUGGUGGAAACAUGCGCUUUGAGAGUGCACACUUCAAGCUGAGCCAUGAGAUGACUCAAUUACUAGAUCCAUCUGGUGUUAUGAAGAGUGAAACCUGGUUCCAAUUUGUAAGUUUGUGUGUCAAGGGAUACCUUGCAGCCCGUCGUUACAUGGACGGGAUAAUCAACACUGUGCUGUUGAUGUUAGACAGCGGACUACCUUGCUUCAGUAGGGGUGACCCAAUUGGAAAUCUUCGCAAGAGAUUUCAUCCUGAGAUGAGUGAACGUGAAGCGGCCAAUUUCAUGAUUCGUGUGUGCACAGAUGCCUACAACAAGUGGACGACUGCUGGCUAUGACUUGAUACAAUAUCUGCAGCAAGGCAUUGAGAAGUAAAUGGAAAUCAUAUGCGAUUGGGACAUAAAUGUACAUGAUUGCCUGUAAUUUUGUAAUUGUAUUAUUCAAUCUUUACGGCUGUAAUUCUUUUCAAGGGAUUUCCACUAUAGAAAGCUGAGUUAAAGGGUUGUAGAAACGGCGCUUCUUUGUAACCUAGUGGUGGGAUUCCUGUUGAGGUUUGUAAAAGUACAGAUUGUUUUAUUCUUGUUACUAAUGAAAUUCGCAGUUCCUUAGAAGAGCAAAGGCACAAGUUGGCAAGUUGCAGUGAAUAGCAAUUAUCAAUUUGAAUAACAUAAAGAGUAGGCUGACUGCUGGAGGGAUGGCAAGUUUUAACUUUAGCCUUCAAAUGUUCACCUAUAAUGCAAUAGAAGUGUCAGCCAGGGCAUCGUGAAUUCGUACGACAUUAUUCUAUGAUUGUACAAUUUUUAACAUGCGCUUAUUCUAUAAAAAUUCCUUUGCCCAAU
rnacentral:misc_RNA from 1 species